rnacentral:rRNA from 1 species
AUGAAAAUGCUUAGCUGGAACUGUCGGGGGCUGGGUCGGCCUCGCACAGUUCAAGAAUUAGUCUGUCUCAAUAAAUCUUACCGACCCAAUGUUAUCUUUCUUUCUGAAACAAGGCAAAAUAAAGAAUAUGUUGAGAGUUUGAGGUAUAGGUUGGGCAUGAAAAAUGUGUUUACUGUUUCAGUUAAAGGUAAAGGUGGUGGCUUAGCUGUGUUUUGGGAUGAGUGUUUUACUAUGGAGUUAAACAAAUUUGGUGAGCAUUUUAUUGACAUGUAUAUCUCAAAUAGUGAUGGGUCAAAAUGGAGAUGCACUUUUGUUCAUGGAGAACCGAAGGCAAGUCAAAGGUAUGUCAUGUGGGAGCUCCUGAGACAGGUAAAAUCUCUUGGCUUUGGUCCAUGGUUUUUGGUGGGUGAUUUUAAUGAAGCAAUGUGGCAGCAUGAGCAUUUUUCCCGGCAUAAGAGGUCUUCUAAGCUCAUGCCAAACUUCCGCGAGAUUCUUUCAGAAUGCAAUCUAUUUGACUUGGGCUUUCAUGGGUUGCCAUGGACCUAUGAUAAUAAGCAGGAAGGUAAUCGCAACGUGAAGGUUCGGCUUGAUCGGGCGGUGGCAUGUCCCCAAUGGUCUGCUAUGUAUCCCCACUACAAGGUCUCAUAUAUUAUAUCUUCCAGGUCAGACCACUAUCCUCUGUACAUUCAGUUGCUGGGGAAUCGACCUAAUGUCUCUGUUAAUAAGCAUUUGAGAUAUGAAUCAUAUUGGGAGCGGGAGAGUAAAGCAUUGGAUGAUCAUAUCAGAAAUUGCUGGAAUAAAAGUACGCAAGUAAGGGAUCUUCAGGAUGUGGCAAGUAAUUUGGAUAAAUUAAUGACAUCCCUACAUUCAUGGAGCAGGGUUCACAUUGGUUAUCUCCCAAAGAAACUUGACGCUGCCCGCAAAAGAUUGAAUCGUCUAUUUAAAAGAAGUGAUAAGGUGGCUGUUUUGGAGAGAAAGGAAACUCUUCUGGAGAUGGAUGAGCUCCUUAUUAAGGAAGAAAUCAUGUGGAAGCAAAGGUCCUGUAUUGACAAAAUGAUAUUGGGGGAUCGUAAUACAAGUUUUUUUCAGAGAAAGGCCUCAUGGAGAGCAAAGAAAAAUAAUAUUUCUACACAUAAGAGGAGUGAUGGGUCUCUUACGGAGAAUAAGGAAGAAAUCAAAGAUAUCACUAAUACGUUUUUUCAGAAUCUGUAUACUUGUGAUUCUAAUGUUGACCCUUCUCGUAUCAUUUCGAUUGUCAAACCUCUCGUCAAUGAUGAUAUGAAUGUGGAGCUCUGUAAACCUUUUUCGGAGGUAGAGAUUAGUAAUGCCCUUUUCCAAAUUGGUCCGCUAAAGGCUCCUGGCCCGGAUGGUUUUCCAGCUAGAUUUUUCCAGAGAAAUUGGGGAUUAAUAAAGGAGGAUAUUGUAAGGGCAGUCCAACAAUUCUUUAUCUCAGGUGUUAUGCCCGAUGGUAUAAAUGACACCACUAUUGUUCUUAUUCCUAAAGUGAAGAAUCUCCAGUCCAUCAAAGACUUUAGACCGAUCAGCCUCUGCAAUAUCAUCUACAAAAUCAUAUUGAAGUGUCUGGUGAAUAGGCUGAGAACUCUUUUGGAUGGUAUGAUUUCUCCCACUCAGAGUGCCUUUAUUCCUGGCCGGUUAAUUUCUGAUAACGUGCUUAUUGCUUUUGAAUGUAUUCACUUGCUGAGUACGUUGAAAGAUAAACGUGGAGAGUUUUGCGCUUACAAUUUGGACUUGGCAAAAGCGUACGAUCGUGUGGACUGGCAAUUUCUUAAAAGUAUGCUUGGGGCUCUUGGUUUUGCGCCAACAUGGAUUAAUUGGAUCAUGACUUGUGUUACUUCUAUGAAGUUUUCGAUGCGGUUUAAUGUACAAUUAUUGGAACCUUUUUACCCAUCGUGUGGACUCAGGCAAGGGGAUCCUUUAUCUCCUUAUUUGUUUCUAUUUGUGGCUGAGGCUCUCUCUUUGUUGUUAAAGGACGCUUGUGAGAAAGGUGUUCUUAAAGAGUUUAAGCUUACAAGACAAGGGCCCGGUAUAUCUCACUUAUUGUUUGCGGAUGAUAGCCUUCUUUUUUUCAAGGGGUCCAUGUUGGGGAACGUAGCAGAAAUUCAAAAUUUUCCUACGUAUCACCAAGAUCUAUCUAUGGAGAAACCAGCAACGAGGGGAAGGAGAGUGCAUCUACAUACCCUUGUAGAUCGCUAA